GGCUGUGUGGCAUAGUAGUUUGAGCAUUGGACUACCACUCUGGAGACCAGGGUUCGAUUCCCCACUCAGCCA
rnacentral:tRNA from 1 species